rnacentral:rRNA from 1 species
UACGUAGGGGGCGAGCGUUGUCCGGAUUUAUUGGGCGUAAAGAGCGUGUAGGCGGCCAGGUAGGUCCGUUGUGAAAACUCGAGGCUCAACCUCGAGACGUCGACGGAAACCAUCUGGCUAGAGUCCGGAAGAGGAGAGUGGAAUUCCUGGUGUAGCGGUGAAAUGCGCAGAUAUCAGGAAGAACACCCGUGGCGAAGGCGGCUCUCUGGGACGGUACUGACGCUGAGACGCGAAAGCGUGGGGAGCGAACAGG